ACGAGGCUCUAAUUGUAUCAUUAACUCGUUGUUUUGGUGUAUAGGUUAUGUGGUUUGGACCUUCCAUUGAGGUAUUACAAAUGCUAUUAGAGCAUAUCCCAACCAAAAAUGUGAGACUUGAGCAGUGCCACCUACGAAGGAUGGACCCGACGAGGACAUCAGGAAUUUAAGAAUGAGAGAUUGUGAUAUCUCAUAUGAUAAGGAUAAGGGUAAGUAGUGAAUGAGAUCCCACAUUGCUUGGGAAAGAAAAGUUCUUGCUCCUUGUAAGGUUCUAAUGGGAUUCUAAUAUUGUAUCAUUGACUAGUCAUUUUGGAGUAUAGGCCAUGUGGUUUGGGCCUUCCAUUGGGGCGUUACAAAUGGUAUCAGAGCCUAUCCCAACCAGAAAUGUGGGACUUAAGCCGUGCUACCUACAAUGGAUAAGCCCGACGAGGACGUCGAGAAUUUAAGGGGGUAGAUUGUGAUACCCCAU